rnacentral:rRNA from 1 species
GGCGGCAGGCUUAACACAUGCAAGUCGAACGCCCCGCAAGGGGAGUGGCAGACGGGUGAGUAACGCGUGGGAAUCUACCCAGAACUUCGGAACAACUGAGGGAAACUUCAGCUAAUACCGGAUACGCCCUACGGGGGAAAGAUUUAUCGGUUCUGGAUGAGCCCGCGUUGGAUUAGCUAGUUGGUGAGGUAAUGGCCCACCAAGGCGACGAUCCAUAGCUGGUCUGAGAGGAUGAUCAGCCACACUGGGACUGAGACACGGCCCAGACUCCUACGGGAGGCAGCAGUGGGGAAUAUUGGACAAUGGGCGAAAGCCUGAUCCAGCCAUGCCGCGUGAGUGAUGAAGGCCUUAGGGUUGUNAAGCUCUUUCAGUAGGGAAGAUAAUGACGGUACCUACAGAAGAAGCCCCGGCUAACUUCGUGCCAGCAGCCGCGGUAAUUCNAAGGGGGCUAGCGUUGUUCGGAUUUACUGGGCGU